GCCCUUAGAGUUGUAUCCUGGCUCAGGACGAACGCUGGCGGCGUGCCUAACACAUGCAAGUCGAGCGGGGUGAGUUCUUCGGAACGAUCCUAGCGGCGGACGGGUGAGUAACACGUGGGUAGCCUGCCUCAAAGUGGGGGAUAGCCUUUCGAAAGGAAGAUUAAUACCGCAUAACCCAUAGCUUCCGCAUGGAAGCAAUGGUAAAGAUUUAUCGCUUUGAGAUGGACCCGCGGCGCAUUAGCUAGUUGGUGAGGUAACGGCUCACCAAGGCCACGAUGCGUAGCCGACCUGAGAGGGUGAUCGGCCACAUUGGAACUGAGACACGGUCCAGACUCCUACGGGAGGCAGCAGUGGGGAAUAUUGCACAAUGGGCGCAAGCCUGAUGCAGCAACGCCGCGUGAGUGAUGAAGGUCUUCGGAUUGUAAAGCUCUGUCUUUGGGGACGAUAAUGACGGUACCCAAGGAGGAAGCCACGGCUAACUACGUGCCAGCAGCCGCGGUAAUACGUAGGUGGCAAGCGUUGUCCGGAUUUACUGGGCGUA
rnacentral:rRNA from 1 species